UACGAAGGGGGCUAGCGUUGCUCGGAAUUACUGGGCGUAAAGCGCACGUAGGCGGCUUUCUAAGUCGGGGGUGAAAUCCUGGAGCUUAACUCCAGAACUGCCUUCGAUACUGGAGAGCUCGAGUCCGGGAGAGGUGAGUGGAACUGCGAGUGUAGAGGUGAAAUUCGUAGAUAUUCGCAAGAACACCAGUGGCGAAGGCGGCUCACUGGCCCGGUACUGACGCUGAGGUGCGAAAGCGUGGGGAGCAAACAGG
rnacentral:rRNA from 1 species